AGUAACGCGUGAGCAAUCUACCUUAGUUACAGGGAUCCCCCGAGGAAACUCGGAUUAAUACCUGAUAUUCUUUACAUUUCGCAUGAAAUCAAAAGGAAAGGUCAGCCGAACUAAGAUGAGCCCGCGUUCUAUCAGCUAGUUGGUGAGGUAAAAGCUCACCAAGGCAACGACGGAUAGCUGGUCUGAGAGGACGAUCAGCCACACUGGGACUGAGACACGGCCCAGACUCCUACGGGAGGCUGCAGCAGGGAAUAUUGCGCAAUGAGCGAAAGCUUGACGCAGCGACACCGCGUGUGGGAUGACGGAUCUAGGUUUGUAAACCACUUUCAGGAGGGAAGAAAAUGACGGUACCUCCACAAGAAGCCCCGGCCAACUACGUGCCAGCAGCCGCGGUAAUACGUAGGGGGCGAGCGUUGUCCGGAUUUAUUGGGCGUAAAGAGCUCGUAGGCGGUUCAACAAGUCGUUCGUGAAAGUUCAGGGCUCAACCCUGAAAUGUCGAUCGAUACUGUUGUGACUAGGAUACGGUAGAGGUGAGUGGAAUUCCGAGUGUAGCGGUGAAAUGCGUAGAUAUUCGGAGGAACACCAAUUGCGAAGGCAGCUCACUGGGCCGCUAUCGACGCUGAGGAGCGAAAGCUAGGGGAGCAAACAGGAUUAGAUACCCUGGUAGUCCUAGCUGUAAACGAUGGAUAC
rnacentral:rRNA from 1 species